rnacentral:rRNA from 1 species
AGCGAACGCUGGCGGCAGGCCUAACACAUGCAAGUCGAACGAACUCUUCGGAGUUAGUGGCGGACGGGUGAGUAACACGUGGGAACGUGCCUUUAGGUUCGGAAUAACUCAGGGAAACUUGUGCUAAUACCGAAUGUGCCCUUCGGGGAAAGAUUUAUCGCCUUUAGAGCGGCCCGCGUCUGAUUAGCUUGUUGGUGGGG